UACGGGGGGAGCAAACGUUGUUCGGAACUACUGGGCGUAAAGGGCGUGUAGGCGGCCGUAUAAGUCGGGGGUGAAAUCCACUGGCUCAACCAGUGACGUGCCCUCGAAACUGCACGGCUUGAGUAUGGCAGAGGGAAGCGGAAUUCCAGGUGUAGCGGUGAAAUGCGUAGAUAUCUGGAAGAACACCGGUGGCGAAGGCGGCUUCCUGGGCCAAUACUGACGCUGAUGCGCGAAAGCCAGGGGAGCGAACGGG
rnacentral:rRNA from 1 species